rnacentral:rRNA from 1 species
UACGUAGGGGGCGAGCGUUGUCCGGAAUCAUUGGGCGUAAAGCGCGUGUAGGCGGCUCGAUUAGUCCGCUGUGAAAGUCGGGGGCUCAACCCUCGGAUGCCGGUGGAUACUGUCGGGCUUGAGUACGGAAGAGGCGAGUGGAAUUCCUGGUGUAGCGGUGAAAUGCGCAGAUAUCAGGAGGAACACCAAUUGCGAAGGCAGCUCGCUGGGACGUUACUGACGCUGAGACGCGAAAGCGUGGGGAGCAAACAGG